AAGGAGGGGGGGAGGGGAGGGAAAAAAAGAGAAAAGAAAGAAAGAGCUGGCAAUGCCCAGGCCCUUUGCUUGAUCCUCUCAACUACUCCAAAAGCCUGAUCUGCAGCCCACACAUCUGCCAGUCAACUGGUCAUCCUUUCUAGAUGACCCUUUGGCCCCUUGAGUCCAUUAUGGCCAGACCAUAACCCAUUCAUCACCCUACCCCACUGCUUGUCAGACCAAAUCCAUUCUCCUCCUUAUUCCUACCCUCUCCUCUAAGCAGACUUAAACCUGGAUUCUUACUUCCCUUCCUUGUCUGCCCACCCCAUGAUUCCCACAGCUAUCAUCAGAGCCUGCGGGUUCUACCUCCGUGACAGUUGGUGUGGUGUCACCAAGUGUAGACCUUGCUGCCAACCUAAUCCCAUCCAUCAUUAUACCCCAGCUGGACUGCUGACCCAUCGCUCUACUUCCUUAAACCCCAAACUCCCACACUCCAUGCCUCUCCAUGCUCCAGGCCUUCAAAUGUUGCCCAGUAGAGACACAAAACACCCUCACUUCCAGGCCUGAAAGUCAAGCCCUUCCCAAAAUGGCACCUUCCUAUCUUUCUGGCCUUGACUCCAGCUAUCCCCAUUUCUGUUUCCUCAUGUUCUCCUCUUCCACAAGUUUUCUCUCCAAAUGCAUCUAUACUCAUCUGCAUUGGUUCAAGCCACUGUUCCUACCUAGCCCACAAAUGUCCCUUGAGGUGGGGUAAGAGGCAAGUGGGUUUAGGAAUGGAAAAGAUCUGAGUUCAGAUUCUGUUCUGCUGCUUCCUAGCCGUGUCACCUGCGAUUAGUUACCUGAUUGUCUCUCUGACCCUCAGUUUCCUCAUCUAUAAAAUGGAACAAUAAUCGUAACUUUGUAGAGUGUUGAGAUCUUUAGAUAACAUAUGAAACCACUUGGGAAAGAGGAGGUGGUGUUUGAGGCAUUGAAAACAUAGACACAAGCUUGGAGGUCUCUUUGAAGAAGACACGUAUGUAAAAAGGACAGUAAAGAGACUCCCCAGCUGGAGAAACUGCCCUUCCGGGUCCAAGAUGGGAGAAGCGGUAGGCGGAGGUUCCCCAGCAGGGAACACCAUUCCCUCAAUACCGUAUUGCCCAGAACACUCAAGCAGUUUUGUGUUUGGAGCACAGUUUGGGUUUUUGUUUUUUUUUUUUUUUCUUUUCUUUUUUGGCUAGAGUCAGUACCAUCUGUGAAUUACACUGCGGUGGCCAGGUUUUUGAUAAUUUGAAUAAGACCUCAGGGAGUCUGAACUAAACAUAUGUCCCUCAAAAAUAUAAAGUAAUUUAUAUGCUUUAAUCUAUUAAUUGGGAAAAUGAGCUUUUUAUCAAUGUCUAAACGUUCAUGAACAGGCAGAGCAAUGUCAGUUUCCACCACACGUGACACAGCAAAAAAGACAUCUUCCAACACAUGAGGCUUCUCCAGGCAGACGUGAGCAGGGACACAACUAGCCUGAUGGAGCAGGCAAACAGACGGCAAAAAUCAGAGAAACUGAUUCUCUCACAGACCGGAAAUGUGCCAUCAAGGCGCUGACAGGACCUAAGGAACAUCCUUCCUUGCCUCUUCCUGGCUUCUGGGGUCUCCCAGAUGCCCUUGAACUCCCUGACUUACAGCUGCACUGGUCCAGUCUCUGCCUCUGUCAUCUUCCCCAGAUGCAGAAACAAAGUCUGUGAAAUGCUCAAGUUGUAACUCUACUUAGUGGGAGAAUCGGGACCAGAACCCAGGUCUCCUGAGUCCACAUCUGACAACCAGCUCUUCCAAUACGUACCAGGAAUGUACAGUUCUGAGUCACAGACAAGCUACUUACUCUUGUAACCGGGUUUCUUCUUGGAUGUUGUGGGUUCUUGGCCUCCAACCUCUUAAAGAAUAAGCGGUAGGGACGCUUCAGCUGCACUGUAUGCUGGCAAAGUGAAUAUCGGAUCCAAAAAGUGUUGCAGAAAGGUGAUUUUAUUUAGGGAGAGAAAAGAGAAGGAAAGGAGAAGAAAAAGGCUUCCACGAAGAGUGUGGGAGGGGAUUCCAGAGGGGAAAUCCCAGAGGGAGCUCCCACCGUGUGGGAGGGGGUUCCAGAAAGUUGGAAAUCUGCGCAGGUGAGGGAGCACAGACUUUUAUCCUGGGAGAAACCCCCACCUUCUCCAAGACCCUGGGCCAAUGAAAGGAGUUCCUUAGAACUUCCGCUGGAGUGAUAGACUUUCAGUUUCCUCCCGCGCCCGUGAAAUUCAAACAUAAACUGUUGAAUCUCCUGGAUGGAGAGAGAGAUGGGAGAGGGGCAUGGUGCUGGGAAAUUCUUGCCCUUAAAGCUACGCCCCGUCAUGGACCCCGAAAGAGAACACAUUCCCUCAUUUUGGGCAGACACUAAAAAACAACUAAUGACUUUCAUUCAUAUAACGUGUUUUCAUCCACUUGGAAAACUGUUUUUCUAAUCUAUAUCAAAAAACUUCAUUUCUUCAACAAACAUUAGCCCCAUACCUACCACAAUACCAGGAAUGAGUUGUAGGAAUGCCUCACCUAGUUACAAAGGACAGUAGAAAGCAAUAUACAGGUGCAGAGAUAAAGAUAAGCCCUGUCUUAUGGUUCCACUGAGAGGAGGGGCAUGACCCAGACUGGGCAGGGAGAAUCAUGGCAGACUUCUUGGAAGAGAUGAUUGUUGUAAAAGUCUACAGGAUGAACAGGUAUUAGCCAGGGGCAGAGAAGGAUAAGGUCGUGACUAACGGCAUGAACAACAGCCUUGAUCGCUUCCCGAACUGGAGCUAAGGUUGCUGUAUGUGUUGUAAAUUACACGGUUUUAUAUCCAAUGGAGAAACAGCCCCACAAUGAAAUAUUUUUGUCAACUUGCACCUGGGAAUUACGUCUCUCUCCUAAGCUGGUAUCUUACCAGGGAAGGAGAAUUAUGGAAUCUGCCGAGUUUCCAUUUUUGCCUUGGUUGUCAAGGCACUCAAUCCCAACAGAUACAUUAGCUCAAGAAUUUGGAAUAUUUGCUUUCCCCUCUCUCUACAGCAUUUGUCUAUUUUCAACUUUUAUCUUAACAGCCUGAUCAUGACAUAUCUUGUAUGUCUUAUGGCAAGCCCUAUGAAAAGUAUGAUUUACUUCUGGGUUCCCUAGCUUGAAAAGAAAGAAGAAAAAAA